rnacentral:rRNA from 1 species
AUGCACGCUGGCGGCGUGCUUCACCCCUGCCAGUCGCACGGAAAGGCUCCUGCUUGCAGGGGUACUCGAGUGGCGAACGGGUGAGUAACACGUGGGUGAUCUGCCCUGCACUUCGGGAUAAGCCUGGGAAACUGGGUCUAAUACCGGAUAGGACCACAUUUUGGAUGGUGUGGUGGAAAGUUUUUCGGUGUGGGAUGAGCUCGCGGCCUAUCAGCUUGUUGGUGGGGUAAUGGCCUACCAAGGCGUCGACGGGUAGCCGGCCUGAGAGGGUGUACGGCCACAUUGGGACUGAGAUACGGCCCAGACUCCUACGGGAGGCAGCAGUGGGGAAUAUUGCACAAUGGGCGCAAGCCUGAGGCAGCGACGCCGCGUGGGGGAUGACGGCCUUCGGGUUGUAAACUCCUUUCGCUAGGGACGAAGCGUUUUUGUGACGGUACCUGGAGAAGAAGCACCGGCUAACUACGUG